AGAGUUUGAUCCUGGCUCAGGAUGAACGCUGGCGGCGUGCCUAAUACAUGCAAGUCGAGCGAACGGACGAGAAGCUUGCUUCUCUGAUGUUAGCGGCGGACGGGUGAGUAACACGUGGAUAACCUACCUAUAAGACUGGGAUAACUUCGGGAAACCGGAGCUAAUACCGGAUAAUAUUUUGAACCGCAUGGUUCAAAAGUGAAAGACGGUCUUGCUGUCACUUAUAGAUGGAUCCGCGCUGCAUUAGCUAGUUGGUAAGGUAACGGCUUACCAAGGCAACGAUGCAUAGCCGACCUGAGAGGGUGAUCGGCCACACUGGAACUGAGACACGGUCCAGACUCCUACGGGAGGCAGCAGUAGGGAAUCUUCCGCAAUGGGCGAAAGCCUGACGGAGCAACGCCGCGUGAGUGAUGAAGGUCUUCGGAUCGUAAAACUCUGUUAUUAGGGAAGAACAUAUGUGUAAGUAACUGUGCACAUCUUGACGGUACCUAAUCAGAAAGCCACGGCUAACUACGUGCCAGCAGCCGCGGUAAUACGUAGGUGGCAAGCGUUAUCCGGAAUUAUUGGGCGUAAAGCGCGCGUAGGCGGUUUUUUAAGUCUGAUGUGAAAGCCCACGGCUCAACCGUGGAGGGUCAUUGGAAACUGGAAAACUUGAGUGCAGAAGAGGAAAGUGGAAUUCCAUGUGUAGCGGUGAAAUGCGCAGAGAUAUGGAGGAACACCAGUGGCGAAGGCGACUUUCUGGUCUGUAACUGACGCUGAUGUGCGAAAGCGUGGGGAUCAAACAGGAUUAGAUACCCUGGUAGUCCACGCCGUAAACGAUGAGUGCUAAGUGUUAGGGGGUUUCCGCCCCUUAGUGCUGCAGCUAACGCAUUAAGCACUCCGCCUGGGGAGUACGACCGCAAGGUUGAAACUCAAAGGAAUUGACGGGGACCCGCACAAGCGGUGGAGCAUGUGGUUUAAUUCGAAGCAACGCGAAGAACCUUACCAAAUCUUGACAUCCUUUGACAACUCUAGAGAUAGAGCCUUCCCCUUCGGGGGACAAAGUGACAGGUGGUGCAUGGUUGUCGUCAGCUCGUGUCGUGAGAUGUUGGGUUAAGUCCCGCAACGAGCGCAACCCUUAAGCUUAGUUGCCAUCAUUAAGUUGGGCACUCUAAGUUGACUGCCGGUGACAAACCGGAGGAAGGUGGGGAUGACGUCAAAUCAUCAUGCCCCUUAUGAUUUGGGCUACACACGUGCUACAAUGGACAAUACAAAGGGCAGCGAAACCGCGAGGU
rnacentral:rRNA from 1 species